AGUGAACGCUGGCGGUAGGCCUAACACAUGCAAGUCGAACGGCAGCACAGUAAGAGCUUGCUCUUACGGGUGGCGAGUGGCGGACGGGUGAGGAAUACAUCGGAAUCUACUUUUUCGUGGGGGAUAACGUAGGGAAACUUACGCUAAUACCGCAUACGACCUACGGGUGAAAGCAGGGGAUCUUCGGACCUUGCGCGAUUGAAUGAGCCGAUGUCGGAUUAGCUAGUUGGCGGGGUAAAGGCCCACCAAGGCGACGAUCCGUAGCUGGUCUAGAGGAUGAUCAGCCACACUGGGACUGAGACACGGUACAGACUCCUACGGGAGGCAGCAGUGGGGAAUAUUGGACAAUGGGCGCAAGCCUGAUCCAGCCAUACCGCGUGGGUGAAGAAGGCCUUCGGGUUGUAAAGCCCUUUUGUUGGGAAAGAAAAGCAGCAGGUUAAUACCCCGCUGUUCUGACGGUACCCAAAGAAUAAGCACCGGCUAACUUCGUG
rnacentral:rRNA from 1 species